rnacentral:rRNA from 1 species
GCGAUCCCAGGUCAGGCGGGACUACCCGCUGAGUU